rnacentral:snoRNA from 1 species
AAGACUAUACUUUCAGGGAUCAUUUCUAUAGUCUGUGACUGGAGAAGUUUCUCUGAACGUGUAGAGCACCCGAAACCACGAGGAGGAGACGCAGUGUUCUCUCCUGAGCGUGAAGCCGGCAUUUGGUGUUGCCUGUGCAGCUGCCACUUGCCCUUGAUGAUCGUUCUCCUCUCUCUGGUUGAGAGAGGCAGAGGGAGAGAACACCGUCUGAGUGGU